rnacentral:rRNA from 1 species
GGCUCAGAUUGAACGCUGGCGGCAUGCCUUACACAUGCAAGUCGAACGGCAGCACGGGAGCUUGCUCCUGGUGGCGAGUGGCGAACGGGUGAGUAAUACAUCGGAACGUACCCUGAAGUGGGGGAUAACGUAGCGAAAGUUACGCUAGUACCGCAUAUUCUGUGAGCAGGAAAGAGGGGGAUCGCAAGACCUCUUGCUUUAGGAGCGGCCGAUGUCGGAUUAGCUAGUUGGUGAGGUAAAGGCUCACCAAGGCGACGAUCCGUAGCGGGUCUGAGAGGAUGAUCCGCCACACUGGGACUGAGACACGGCCCAGACUCCUACGGGAGGCAGCAGUGGGGAAUUUUGGACAAUGGGCGCAAGCCUGAUCCAGCCAUGCCGCGUGAGUGAAGAAGGCCUUCGGGUUGUAAAGCUCUUUCGGUGGGGAAGAAAUUGCACAGGAUAAUACCUUGUGUAGAUGACGGUACCCGCAUAAGAAGCACCGGCUAACUACGUG